UAAGCAAAAAAGACAAAUAUUGAUUUUAGCUUAUGUAACAAAGUAAAUAUUAUUAUUUGGUUGUUUAUUGUAUGUCUUUACAUGUUGGUUCACUCAUACCAAAUUGAUAAACCACGUAUUCAAAUACUUUGUCAAAAAUAAGUCAACGUUCAAUAUAAAAUAGAUAUGUUUAUGAGAGCAAUACUUUGGCAAUAACAAAUAAUAGGAUGACCCGGAGGUGUUUUGACAAGCUAUGUGCCCUGCUUGUAACGUUUGGUGGUUUAAAAGAGAGUAGAAGUAUAGUUAUAGAAGACCAGAUUAUUAUUUUUCUUCAUAUGAUAGCUCAUAAUAUUAAGAAUCGUACCAUGAUAACCAACUUUCAUCGUUCGGGAGAUACAAUUAGUAGAACUUUUUCUCGAGUUUGCAAUGCGUUUAUCAGAUUGCAUUCACGUUUGCUCAAGAAACCCAAACAUGUUCUCGAGUACUCUACCGACAAUAGGUGAAAAUGGUUCAAGAAUUGUCUAGGAGCUUUAGAUGAAAUAUUCAUACAAUGUCUAGUACCACUUGGGGAACGACCUAGAUAUAGAACAAGAAAGGGAGAUAUCGCCACAAACGUGUUAGGCGUGUGUUCACAGGAUAUGCAAUUUAUCUUUGUAGUAUCGAGUUAAGAAGGAUUUGCAGCUGAUGGUAGAGUGUUACGAGAUGCUUUUGAUCGACCUCAUGGAUGCAAAGUUGCAAGACCUGGUUACUAUUUGGUCCAUGAUGGAUAUACGAAUGGGGAGGGUUUUUUGGUCCCUUAUAGAGGACAAAGAUAUCAUUUAAAUGAUUGGCGUGAUAGACACCAGCCGACUACACCAUAAGAAUUAUAUAACAUGAAGCAUUCAUCCGCAAUAAAUGUAACAGAAAUAUGUUUUGGUCUUUAAAGGAAAAGUGAAAAUAUUUGAAGGACAACUCAUUUUAUCCCACUGGUACAAAGAUUAGCAUCAUAAUGACAUGUUGUCUUUUCUACAAUUAUAUUAGACAAGAAAUAGAAGAUGAUCCACAAGAAAUGAAAGAUAAUGUGGAUGUGAAAACUGGAGAUGAAGUUGGAUACGAAGAAGGGGAUACAGAAGUUCUGUUGUAACUUCAAAUGAGUGGACAACAUUUAAAAAUAAUUUAGCAAAUACUAUGCUUGAGUCUUGGAAUGCUAGCCGUAUUUGAACAUUUUAUGUAGGCUGUGAUUGAACCAUUUUGUUAUGUUCUACUAUUGCUCUUGUCAUUAAUUCAGCUUGAACCAUGUAUCUUUGCUAUUAUUAUGUAUUCUAAACACAAUUUAUAA